rnacentral:SRP_RNA from 1 species
GCCAGGCACGGUGGUGUGUGCCUGUGGUCCCAGCUACUUGGGAGGCUGAGGUGGGAGGAUUGCUUGAGGCCAGGAGGUCAAGCCUGCAGUGAGUUAUGACUGUGCUACUGCACUCCAGCCUGGGCAACAGAGCGAGACCCUAUCUCAA